UAUUUUCAGUGUCAACCCACUUUACUUGUCAUAAACCUGAUUGCUUCUUCGUCCGUCCAUGGGGAGUGUCCGUCUUAACUUGUGUGUCAACCCACUUUACUUGUCAUAAACCUGAUUGCUUCUUCGUCCGUCCAUGGGGAGUGUCCGUCUUAACUUGUGUGUCAACCCACUUUACUUGUCAUAAACCUGAUUGCUUCUUCGUCCGUCCAUGGGGAGUGUCCGUCUUAACUUGUGUGUCAACCCACUUUACUUGUCAUAAACCUGAUUGCUUCUUCGUCCGUCCAUGGGGAGUGUCCGUCUUAACUUGUG